rnacentral:rRNA from 1 species
UACGUAGGGUGCAAGCGUUACUCGGAAUUACUGGGCGUAAAGCGUGCGCAGGCGGUUCUAUAAGACCGAUGUGAAAUCCCCGGGCUCAACCUGGGAACUGCAUUUGUGACUGUAGAGCUGGAGUACGGCAGAGGGGGAUGGAAUUCCGCGUGUAGCAGUGAAAUGCGUAGAUAUGCGGAGGAACACCGAUGGCGAAGGCAAUCCCCUGGGCCUGUACUGACGCUCAUGCACGAAAGCGUGGGGAGCAAACAGG